rnacentral:rRNA from 1 species
AUUUGACGUUACCUACAGAAGAAGCACCGGCUAACUCCGUGCCAGCAGCCGCGGUAAUACGGAGGGUGCGAGCGUUAAUCGGAAUUACUGGGCGUAAAGCGCAUGCAGGCGGCUUGUUAAGUCAGAUGUCGAAAGACCCGGGGCGUUAACCUCGGAAUUGCAUUUGAAACUGGCAGGCUAGAGUCUUGUAGAGGGGGGUAGGAAUUUCAGGUGUAGCGGUGAAAUGCGUAGAGAUCUGAAGGAAUACCAGUGGCGAAGGCGGCCCCCUGGACAAAGACUGACGCUCAGAUGCGAAAGCGUGGGGAGCAAACAGGAUUAGAUACCCUGGUAG